rnacentral:rRNA from 1 species
UGAGUACGAGAUGCUACGGCAUCGAAGCAGUCUAUGUCAUACUUCCAAGAAAAGCUUGCACUGUCAUAAACAAAGAAUGCCUGUACCAUAACCGACACAGGUGGGUAGGUAGAGUAUACUAAGGGGCGCGAGAUAACUCUCUCUAAGGAACUCGGCAAAAUGACUCCGUAACUUCGGGAGAAGGAGUGCCUUAUUUAUAAGGUUGCAAUAACAAGAUCCAAGCAACUGUUUACCAAAAACACAGGUCUCCGCGAAGUCGUAAGACGAUGUAUGGGGGCUGACGCCUGCCCAGUGCCAGAAGGUUAAAGAAGUUGGUUAGCAUUCGCGAAGCUGAUAACUGAAGCCCUGGUGAACGGCGGCCGUAACAAUAACGGUCCUAAGGUAGCGAAAUUCCUUGUCGGGUAAGUUCCGACCCGCACGAAAGGCGUAAUGAUUUGGAUACUGUCUCGGAGAGGGGCUCGGUGAAAUAGACUUGUCUGUGAAGAUGCGGACUACCUGCACCUGGACAGAAAGACCCUAUGAAGCUUUACUGUAACUUGAAAUUGAAAUUGGACUUUAUUUGCGCAGUAUAGGUGGGAGGCGUUGAGAAUAACCUUGCGGGGUUAUUGUAGCCAUCAGUGAGAUACCACUCUUGUAAUGUUAGAUUUCUAACUUUGUAUCAUUAUCUGGUCAAAGAACAGUUUCAGGCGGGCAGUUUGACUGGGGCGGUCGCCUCCCAAACGGUAACGGAGGCGCACAAAGGUUUCCUCUGAACGGGUAGAAAUCGUAUCUAGAGUGUAAAGGCAUAAGGAAGCUUGACUGUGAGACCUACAAGUCGAGCAGGGACGAAAGUCGGUCUUAGUGAUCUGACGGUGCUGAGUGGAAAGGCCGUCACUCAACGGAUAAAAGUUACUCUAGGAUAACAGGCUGAUCUCCCCCAAGAGUUCACAUCGACGGGGAGGUUUGGCACCUCGAUGUCGGCUCAUCGCAUCCUGGGGCGGUAGUACGUCCCAAGGGUUGGGCUGUUCGCCCAUGAAAGCGGUACGCGAGCUGGGUUCAGAACGUCGUGAGACAGUUCGGUCCAUAUCCGGUGUAGGCGUUAGAAUAUUGAGAGGAGCCUUCUCUAGUACGAGAGGACCGAGAAGGACAUACCUCUGGUGUACCAGUUAUCGUGCCAACGGUAAACGCUGGGUAGCUAUGUGUGGAGUGGAUAACCGCUGAAAGCAUCUAAGUGGGAAGCCCACCUCAAGAUAAGUAUUCUCAU